CCUACGGGAGGCAGCAGUGGGGAAUAUUGCACAAUGGGGGAAACCCUGAUGCAGCGACGCCGCGUGAGUGAAGAAGUAUUUCGGUAUGUAAAGCUCUAUCAGCAGGGAAGAAAAUGACGGUACCUGACUAAGAAGCCCCGGCUAACUACGUGCCAGCAGCCGCGGGAAUACGUCGGGGGCAAGCGUUAUCCGGAUUUACUGGGUGGAAAGGGGGCGUAGACGGCCAGUAAAGUGAGAAGUGAAAGCCCAGGGCUCAACCCUGGGACUGCUUUUGAAACUGCCGGGCUGGAGUGCAGGAGAGGAAAGCGGAAUUCCUAGUGUAGCGGUGAAAUGCGUAGAUAUUAGGAGGAACACCAGUGGCGAAGGCGGCUAACUGGACUGUAACUGACGUUGAGGCUCGAAAGCGUGGGGAGCAAACAGGAUUAGAUACCCUAGUAGUC
rnacentral:rRNA from 1 species